GAUGAACGCUGGCGGCGUGCCUAGUACAUGCAAGUCGAGCGAACAGACGAGGAGCUUGCUCCUCUGACGUUAGCGGCGGACGGGUGAGUAACACGUGGAUAACCUACCUAUAAGACUGGGAUAACUUCGGGAAACCGGAGCUAAUACCGGAUAAUAUAUUGAACCGCAUGGUUCAAUAGUGAAAGACGGUUUUGCUGUCACUUAUAGAUGGAUCCGCGCCGCAUUAGCUAGUUGGUAAGGUAACGGCUUACCAAGGCAACGAUGCGUAGCCGACCUGAGAGGGUGAUCGGCCACACUGGAACUGAGACACGGUCCAGACUCCUACGGGAGGCAGCAGUAGGGAAUCUUCCGCAAAGGGCGAAAGCUUGACGGAGCAACGCCGCGUGAGUGAUGAAGGUCUUCGGAUCGUAAAACUCUGUUAUUAGGGAAGAACAAAUGUGUAAGUAACUAUGCACGUCUUGACGGUACCUAAUCAGAAAGCCACGGCUAACUACGUG
rnacentral:rRNA from 1 species